rnacentral:lncRNA from 1 species
UUUCCCUGUACUAUUUUGCCAGUUUUGGAAAAGGGAAAACAGACUACGGUAUUGUUCAAGUUUUUGGCAAUGCACAUUCUUACAUAAGAAAAGCUUUUCCAGCAUCAUCAACGUAUAGUGGAAUUCUAAUCAACAGAGAUUGCAGAGAUUGUAACUACAGGACUAUUCUACAUUUGGGAUACAGAGCUUUUGGGAAGAAGAAUGCACCACAUCUGCUUCUGUGGCAUAUGGUAUCUGACAAGAGGAUCUGGGACUAUUUUCUGGACAGGACAAACGUGGUAGGGAAAGAAAAAAAUUCUUAAUUUUUUGAAAAAGCUUUCCACAGGGACCUGUCAAUGGGCAGUUUAAAGCUUUCUGCUACAGGAUUUGUCUUCCUAUAUGUUUCUGUACCAGCAACCCUUGAGAGUUAUCCUUAAUAAUAACUAAUAGUAGCAUAGAAUGUAGGGUGGCUAAUUUUCCACCUGGAAAAUAGUAUUCACUGAUAUCGUCUACUCUUUCCUAUAUUAGUGGGCAUAAUAUUUCAAAGGAAUUCAUUGCUAAAGUUCCUAUCAAACUCAGUGGAGUUGAAUUCAGUCCUGAAGCUUAAGAUCAUUUGAUAAUUUUCAGUCCUAUCUUUAUCAGCAAAUAUUUCAUGUUCAAAGACUGGCAGUGGUAGUGAGUGAAGUCUGCUGUUUAAAGAGACUUCUCUGCACUUCCAC